AUUUACUGUCGCGUUGGUACAAUGAAUUUACUACAAUAUUGCCGUCGGUAUACCGUAUCUCACGACGCGUGCCAUCCGCGUACCUUAACUAAUACAUAAAUCCAAUGAUAAUAUUUAUCAUAUAGGUGAAGUAAGAGGAACAGGCGUGAUGAACGGGAGAGUAAAGAAGAAGAAGAAGAAGAAGAAGAAGAAGAAGAA